rnacentral:rRNA from 1 species
UGGGGAAUAUUGGACAAUGGGCGAAAGCCUGAUCCAGCCAUGCCGCGUGUGUGAAGAAGGCCUUCGGGUUGUAAAGCACUUUAAGCGGGGAGGAAGGGCUUCUGGCUAAUAUCCAGGAGCAUUGACGUUACCCGCAGAAUAAGCACCGGCUAACUCUGUGCCAGCAGCCGCGGUAAUACAGAGGGUGCAAGCGUUAAUCGGAAUUACUGGGCGUAAAGCGCGCGUAGGCGGUUUGUUAAGUCGGAUGUGAAAUCCCCGGGCUCAACCUGGGCACUGCAUCCGAUACUGGCUGACUAGAGUGUGGGAGAGGAAGGUAGAAUUCCAGGUGUAGCGGUGAAAUGCGUAGAGAUCUGGAGGAAUACCGAUGGCGAAGGCAGCCUUCUGGCCUGACACUGACGCUGAGGUGCGAAAGCAUGGGGAGCAAACA